GCCUGGGUGGCUCACUCGGUUGAGCGUCUGACUUCGGCUCAGGUCAUGAUCCUACGGUGUGUGAGUUCAAGCCCCACGUCGGGCU
rnacentral:tRNA from 1 species